rnacentral:misc_RNA from 1 species
UAUAAGAUUUGUAGGCACAAAGGCCCUUUCAAUUACAUUCGAUAACAUAAAUGGUGUAUAUGAAGAAAACAUAGGCCUGGAAAUGUAAGGAAAGACAAAAGUCAAUUCCUCAAACCUGAAUGCCAGGCAUUCAGAAAGAUAUCCAGAUCUACAAAAAGUGCACAGGUGGAGAUAUAUAUAAAGAUGACAAGUGCGCACAUGCUCCCUAGAGAGCCAGCAGCAACCCAUCAGGUUUAUUUCAAUAAUGAUCCUUCCGCAGGUUCACCUACGGAAA